rnacentral:tRNA from 1 species
GGAAAGGUGGCAGAGUGGUUAAUGCAGUUGUCUUGAAAAUAGCCGUUUUUUGAACUCGUGGGUUCGAAUCCCACUCNUUUCG